GCUCUAUAUAAAUACCAGCAAUGGAGCUUGGCAGCGUGGAUCCCAUAUAGGAGAAGGAAGAAGCAGGGCAAGUAGAAGUGCUCUCUUCUUGUAGUAUGGCAAUCCUCAAUAGCAAUACAAGGACAAUUGUCUACACCGUGGCUGUUGCUCUCUUGGUCGUCAUGAUGAUGUCCUCUUCGUUGCAAUCUUGUCAUGGAACUGAUGAAGAGGAGGGUUGGGAGUGCCGUAAAUUAGUGAACUGCACUGCUCCGGGAUGCCUCGCUUAUUGCAGACUUAUAAAACAUGGUGGAGGUUAUCCUCACAGUAUCAUGUCCAAAUGCCGUCACAACAGAACGGAGUGCUGCUGCCGAGACUACAAUCAGCCGCCGCCGCCGCCGGCGUCGCCGCCAAGAGAUCUCGUGCUUGUGCACAACAACGCUGGUGCAUGAAGUCGAUGCAUGUUUUGAUGAACCUGCAGUCGGAGCAUCCGAUGAAAAUCAAAUAAAUUUGUUUUAGCUUCAUACAUACUCCAAGCAAACAAAUGUUGUACUUUGAACGACCAUGUUCUGUUCGACACCUGAUUAACAAUACUUCCGUA